UACGUAGGUGGCAAGCGUUGUCCGGAUUUACUGGGCGUAAAGAGCGCGCAGGCGGUCAGAUAAGUCGAAUGUGAAAGCCCCCGGCUCAACUGGGGAGGGUCAUUCGAUACUGUUCGACUCGAAGGCAGGAGAGGGAAGUGGAAUUCCCGGUGUAGUGGUGAAAUGCGUAGAUAUCGGGAGGAACACCAGUGGCGAAGGCGACUUCCUGGCCUGUUCUUGACGCUGAGGCGCGAAAGCUAGGGUAGCAUACAGG
rnacentral:rRNA from 1 species